ACUACGGGAGUCAGCAGUGGGGAAUUUUGCGCAAUGGGGGAAACCCUGACGCAGCAACGCCGCGUGCGGGACGAAGGCCCUCGGGUCGUAAACCGCUUUCAGCAGGGAAGACCACGACGGUACCUGCAGAAGAAGCUCCGGCUAACUACGUGCCAGCAGCCGCGGUAAUACAGAGGGGGCGAGCAUUAUCCGGAUUCAUGGGGCGUAAAGCGCGCGUAGGCGGCCGCCUAAGCGGAACCUCUAACCCCGGGGCGCAACUUCGGGCCGGGUUCCGGACUGGGCGGCGCGAGGGCGGUAGAGGAGAGCGGAAUUCCCGGUGUAGCGGUGGAAUGCGCAGAUAUCGGGAAGAACACCGAUGGCGAAGGCAGCUCUCUGGGCCGUCACUGACGCUGAGGCGCGAAAGCUGGGGGAGCGAACAGGAUUAGAUACCCCUGUAGUC
rnacentral:rRNA from 1 species